AAGCAGGGGAUCGUAAGACCUUGCGCUUAUGGAGCGGCCGAUGCCUGAUUAGCUAGUUGGUGGGGUAAUGGCUUACCAAGGCUACGAUCAGUAGUUGGUCUGAGAGGACGACCAGCCACACUGGGACUGAGACACGGCCCAGACUCCUACGGGAGGCAGCAGUGGGGAAUUUUGGACAAUGGGCGAAAGCCUGAUCCAGCAAUGCCGCGUGAGUGAAGAAGGCCUUCGGGUUGUAAAGCUCUUUCAGUCGAGAAGAAAAGGUUGUGACUAAUAAUCACAAUUUAUGACGGUAUCGACAGAAGAAGCACCGGCUAACUACGUGCCAGCAGCCGCGGUAAUACGUAGGGUGCAAGCGUUAAUCGGAAUUACUGGGCGUAAAGGGUGCGCAGGCGGCUUUGUAAGUCAGAUGUGAAAUCCCCGGGCUUAACCUGGGAAUUGCGUUUGAAACUACAAAGCUUAGA
rnacentral:rRNA from 1 species